AAUACCAACAUUAUUAACCGUGUGCAUAACUGUAAUAUCAUACAGCACGGAGCUGUCCGACAAGUAGUCAGCUAGACGGAUACGUUUAGAAGGUUGCUUUCUAAGUAUAGUAAUAUAUUUAGAGGAGAGGUAAAACUCAAAACUGGAUAGUGUGCAAAUAUUAUCGCUUAAUAAAAUACUAGAGUUGUCGUAGUCGUAAUAGACGGCACAGUGUGCAAUAAGCCUGCAUCUCAUAUGUGGCAGUAUGAAGCAAUACAGGUAAUGCUAAACAAGACUAUUUCUCGUGAUGACGAAGAAAUUCGGAUAUAAGACAUAACUAGGUUAAAGUAGCCCAAUGCGAGAUAAUGUACAGAACGUUUUUUUGUAUGAAUAGGAAAUUGAUACAAACAAUCUGAAUGAUGGGUGAAAUUUAUACGUAAUCAAUCGUAUGCAGGGUAAAGCACUACAGUGCUUGAAAAGGGGUAAAAAGUUAUAAGGUCGCUACUUAUAGCUCAGAUUUAUCUUCCUGGUGAUUGAAUAAUUAAGAAGAUAAUAUGUUGUAAGGGGAAACUCUAAUAAUAUAUAUU
rnacentral:sRNA from 1 species